AUACUUACCUGGCAGGGGAGACCCCAUGAUCAGAAGGGUGGUUUUCCCAGCAUGAGGCUUAUCCAUCACUCGGAUGUGCUGGCUCCUGUGAUUUCCAAAUGGAGGAAUCUCCACUCCCUAAACUGUGGUAGUGGGGGGCUGUGUUCGCACUCACUUCCU